AUUGAACGCUGGCGGCAGGCCUAACACAUGCAAGUCGAACGAGUGGCGGACGGGUGAGUAAUUUCUGGGAAACUGCUUGAUGGAGGGGGAUAACUCCUGGAAACGGUAGCUAAUACCGCAUACCAUCAGAUGUGCCCCGAUGGGAUUAGCUAGUUGGUGGGGUAAUGGCUCACCCAGGCGACGGCCCCUAUCUGGUCGGAGAGGAUGACCAGCCACACUGGACCUGAUGCACGGGCCAGACUCCUACGGGAGGCAGCAGUGGGGAAUAUUGCACAAUGGGCGCAAGCCUGAUGCAGCCAUGCGGCGUGUAUGAAGAAGGCCUUCGGGUUGUAAAGUACUUUCAGCGGGGAGGCGUUACCCGCAGAAGAAGCACCGGCUAACUCCGUGCCAGCAGCCGCGGUAAUAC
rnacentral:rRNA from 1 species